rnacentral:rRNA from 1 species
UACGAAGGGGGCUAGCGUUGCUCGGAAUCACUGGGCUUAAAGGGCGCGUAGGCGGGCUGACAAGUCUGGGGUGAAAUGCCGCGGCUCAACCGUGGAACUGCCUUAGAUACUGUCGGCCUCGAGGAAGGUAGGGGCAUGCGGAACUGUAGGUGGAGCGGUGAAAUGCGUUGAUAUCUACAGGAACUCCGGUGGCGAAAGCGGCGUGCUGGACCUUUUCUGACGCUGAGGCGCGAAAGCUAGGGGGAGCAAACGGG